GUAGGUGAACCUGCGGAAGGAUCAUUAACACAUGCAUUAGCAUUAAUAAUCCAACCUUUGAUUAGAUGAAAUUCGCACUUAACACCGCUUGCUCCAUUUGCCUUCAUGGCAUACCUUUUUAAGGAAUGAGUAAGGCCUUGAGUGUUAAGUGUUUUUUACUUAUUCACUUAAAAUAAUUCAGAUUGAAAUUAAAAAAAAGAAAAGAAAAUUUUCAACGAUGGAUAUCUGGGUUCCCAUAACGAUGAAGAACGCAGCGAAAUGCGAUACGCAAUGCGAAUAGCAGAGCUCCGCGAGACAUCAGAUCUUUGAACGCAAAUGGCGCUGGCUUGCCAGCAUGUUUGUUUCAGUGUGUUAGGAGAGCAAACCAAUCAUAAAUGAGAAUGCGAUUGAAGCUUUAUAGUUUCUUUCGUUAAAUUAGAAAGUGUGAAGAGCUUCACACUCGUAAACGAAGUAGUCACAAUUCAUUGUGAUCUCGUUUACGAAGAAGCAUCUUAAAAGCACUUUUCAAAAAUUAUCUCCAAAUUCAACACCUGAAAUCAAGCAAGGUCACCCGCUGAACUUAAGCAU
rnacentral:rRNA from 1 species